rnacentral:rRNA from 1 species
CCUACGGGGCGCAGCAGUGGGGAAUAUUGGACAAUGGGCGAAAGCCUGAUCCAGCCAUGCCGCGUGUGUGAAGAAGGCCUUCGGGUUGUAAAGCACUUUCAGUGGGGAAGAAAGCCUUGGGGCUAAUACCCUCGAGGAAGGACAUCACCCACAGAAGAAGCACCGGCUAACUCCGUGCCAGCAGCCGCGGUAAUACGGAGGGUGCGAGCGUUAAUCGGAAUUACUGGGCGUAAAGCGCGCGUAGGCGGUCUGAUAAGCCGGUUGUGAAAGCCCCGGGCCCAACCUGGGAACGGCAUCCGGAACUGUCAGGCUAGAGUGCAGCAGAGGAAGGUAGAAUUCCCGGUGUAGCGGUGAAAUGCGUAGAGAUCGGGAGGAAUACCAGUGGCGAAGGCGGCCUUCUGGACUGACACUGACGCUGAGGUGCGAAAGCGUGGGUAGCAAACAGGAUUAGAUACCCUAGUAGUC